UGAAAGACUGCUCCUUCCUCCUCCAAAGGCAAGGAAAAGGUCACAGGAUCUUCUAGCAUAACCUGAACACGACUUGACGAAGGGGGUAUGAGAAGGUUUCUAACAAUUGAGCAUAAAGCCAGAUUUGACAACGUGGUCUCAAGAUGGAACGUUUGGCUAGAACGCGAAGUAACAUUGGAAGACUUUGGGAGGUUUGAAUUGACCCAGUUAAUUCAGUUGGCAAGUUGGGAGAAAGUUGCAGGCGAACCUCAUAAGGUUUACCCUACUUUGGUGCAGGAGUUCUACGCCAAUUUUAAUGCAGAUUUGGACACUCCAAGGACUGAGCACAUGCAUCAGACAUGGAUUCGAGACAAAUGGAUAAUGUUCUCUCUCGAAGUGGUUGAGGCCUACAACGAACUCACUCGAGAUAAUAUUGUGCCAGUGCCAAUGGAUGCAGACAUGCCAAUCAUCAUACAUAUACUAUAUGGGAGAGAAGAUGCAUGACAACUCUUAGGACAUGACUUUGAAUACUGACACUUGAAAGAUUCCAUUGUGAUUUUGUAUAAAUUCAUCACUCACAACAUUGAUCCAAGUUCACAUCGCACCACUAUUAGUCAACCCGAGGCCAUUCAACUUUAUCAUCUUGCACACUGGUUUAAGAUUGACUUAGGAUCUUUGAUUUAUGAUCUCGUAUGCUUUGUGGCGAUGGAUCUCGACCCG
rnacentral:lncRNA from 1 species